rnacentral:rRNA from 1 species
ACGAACGCUGGCGGCGUGCUUAACACAUGCCAGUCGAACGGAAAGGCCCUGCUUGCAGGGUCCUCGAGUGGCGAACGGGUGAGUAACACGUGGGUGAUCUGCCCUGCACUUCGGGAUAAGCCUGGGAAACUGGGUCUAAUACCGGAUAGGAGCCAUUUUUAGUGUGAUGGUUGGAAAGUUUUUUCGGUGUAGGAUGAGCUCGCGGCCUAUCAGCUUGUUGGUGGGGUAAUGGCCUACCAAGGCGGCGACGGGUAGCCGGCCUGGGAGGGUGGACGGCCACAUUGGGACUGAGAUACGGCCCAGACUCCUACGGGAGGCAGCAGUGGGGAAUAUUGCACAAUGGGCGCGAGCCUGAUGCAGCGACGCCGCGUGGGGGAUGACGGCCUUCGGGUUGUAAACUCCUUUCGCUAGGGACGAAGCUUUUUGUGACGGUACCUAGAUAAGAAGCACCGGCUAACUACGUG